UGUUUAAUUGGUGAGGUUAUUACUACGUGCUUAUACGAUGCAAGUAGAAGACUAACACACUAUCAUCAUUUCAUUAUAAAUAGAGGUUGAUCUUUAGCUCAUUUCUUCACACAAAAUAAAAUAGUGAUAAUCAUCAUGGCUAAGUUUGCUUCCAUCAUCACCCUUAUGUUUGCAGCUCUUUUUCUCUUUGCUGCUUUUGAGACACCGUCAAUGAUGGAAGCACAUAUGUUGUGUGAUAGGCCUAGUAAGACAUGGUCAGGGGUUUGUGGAAACAAUAGUGCUUGCAAGAAUCAGUGCAUUAACCUUGAGGGAGCACGACAUGGAUCUUGCAACUAUGCCAACCCAACUCACAAGUGUAUUUGUUUCUUCUCAUGUUAAUCUCCCCAAAAUCGUUGUUGCUUAAAUGGGUGUAUUUUACAUAAAAUAAGUCUAUGUCGCUCUAUGUGAGUGACUUUAUGACAUGCAUAUUUAUGUUUUAAUGUUUGGUUGGACUUUUGUUUCUAUAGUAAUAUGAACACUUUGUGUUUUUUAAGCCA